UUCUGCUUCAAGGAAGAUGAUGAGCAUUGAAGAUCCUCCAUAUAGAGUUUGUGGCAAGCUAAAUAUUGGGCAAAAAGCUGCGCUUGUUUCAACUCUAGAAAAAAAUACUGUUCAAACUGGACAAACAGGACACAGGGAAGUCAACUGUCAAACUUUUCAAGGACAAGCCCUCAUCAUUUCCUAGAAGCCUUCUGACUACAAGACCAUCCACUCUGUGUUCUCUUGAGCAUCUCCCCAUGAGCCCAUCCUCACCCACAGGAUGGUCAUCAGCAUGUGUCACCCCAGCAGGAAUCUGAACGAGGAAUCUGACACCAUUUUCCUAGAGAGAAUCUCCACCAAAGAACUUCCAGUGAUGGUCCAAUAACUUCUCACCAUUUCCUCGGACUCCAGCUGAUGAGCAGAAUCUUGUGGUUUCUUUUGGA